rnacentral:rRNA from 1 species
CCUACGGGAGGCAGCAGUGAGGAAUAUUGGUCAAUGGACGAGAGUCUGAACCAGCCAAGUAGCGUGAAGGAUGACUGCCCUAUGGGUUGUAAACUUCUUUUAUAUGGGAAUAAAACGUUCCACGUGUGGGAUUUUGUAUGUACCAUAUGAAUAAGGAUCGCCUAACUCCGUGCCAGCAGCCGCGGUAAUACGGAGGAUCCGAGCGUUAUCCGGAUUUAUUGGGUUUAAAGGGAGCGUAGGUGGAUUGUUAAGUCAGUUGUGAAAGUUUGCGGCUCAACCGUAAAAUUGCAGUUGAAACUGGCAGUCUUGAGUACAGUAGAGGUGGGCGGAAUUCGUGGUGUAGCGGUGAAAUGCUUAGAUAUCACGAAGAACUCCGAUUGCGAAGGCAGUUCACUGGACUGCAACUGACACUGAGGCUCGAAAGUGUGGGUAUCAAACAGGAUUAGAUACCAGUAGUC